CGGUGGUCCCUGUGUUGUGGGUGUCCUCCCAGCGACCACCCGUAUACAACAAAGCCUACUGGCUGCGGGGUCCCUCGGCCCACAGUGGACCCCGGAACGGAACCAGGAACCUGGCCUCCACGCCCAGCAGCAGACAGCACACGCGUGUCGUGUCCCUCCCAGCACAGGCGCCAGGUGUCCCUGCAGAGGGUCCGGGGCAGAGGCACCUGCCAGGGACAGCCGGGGCUGCUCCUGGGAGGCCACGUGGCCCCUUGUCCCGAAUCCGUCUUUGCCAGAGGCAUCAUCUCUCUGCAGCCUGCUUCUCCUGAGGCUGUCUGUUUUCCAGGAUUCUCCCAAGAGCAGCACGCCCACCCCAAGUUCGUGCCCAGGUCUGAGCAGUACCCCCCACCCCCGCCAAGGCGGCCAGUUCCACCCAGACGUGAGAGGUGCGGGUGGCUCCAGGCAGGGAGACGCACAAGGGUGCAGGGUGGGCAGACCCAGGAUUGGACUCGGAGCCCAGCCCGCCCCCGCUGGAUUCUCAGUUUGAAUGACUGCAAAUCUCACUUUAACAACAACGACGAAACAGUCCUCGACUCAUACAGCAUCCAUGUGCUGGUAUUUGCUGACGUCCGUUUCUGGAAGGUCUGGCCCCUGGACCCCACGUUCCUGCCGAGUGUGGUGGCCGUUCACCAUCGCUGUGACCCUGUCACGACUGAGCUGGCCAAAGCUGGCACGGGGAUCAAGGCCGGCUUCCCAACCAGGUCUGGACAGAGCAGGUGCCAGGCAGAGCGCUCGUCCCUUCCGGCAGCUGGCCCGGCACUCACCCUGGGGGCCGUGCUGCCUGCCCGCUCGCUCCCUCCCCUGCCCUGGGCCUCUGCUCCUGCCACUCUGCCUGCUGCAGCAGGGAUUCUGACCCCUCUGCUUAACAUCCUGCCCAAGCACCUCCCUCCUUGUGCUGUUUCUGCCCUCCCGGCUGGGGCAGUCUCUCGGAGCUGGGUCCCGGCCCCUUCCCAGGGCACCCGUGUUCAGAAGGCUGUGGUGAGAGGGGCUGGGCACCCUGGAAUGCAAGCCCAGACCGGCGGCUGUGCUGCGCCGAGGUGGGUGUUAAGGUUCCCGGAACGCCCCCAAGGCUGGCCCAGAGAGCAUGAAGCGGGAAAUGUCGCCACCUGUUGCCCGCCUGGCUCAGCACGUGUCCGCCAGGCCUCUGUACCUCCGUCCACAGCAGGGACCGGAGGCGGAGAGGGAAGGGGAGGCCCCCCACCCCCGCCCCAGGCUCUUAGUAACCUGCUCCCUGAAAGGAGGACCCCGAAGGUGCAGCUUCCACUGGGGCCAGCGCUAGGGCCGCUCUGA
rnacentral:lncRNA from 1 species